rnacentral:rRNA from 1 species
CUGGCGGCAGGCUUACACAUGCAAGUCGAGCGGGGAAGAGUAGCUUGCUACCUNACCUAGCGGCGGACGGGUGAGUAAUGCUUAGGAAUCUGCCUAUUAGUGGGGGACAACAUCUCGAAAGGGAUGCUAAUACCGCAUACGUCCUACGGGAGAAAGCAGGGGACCUUCGGGCCUUGCGCUAAUAGAUGAGCCUAAGUCGGAUUAGCUAGUUGGUGGGGUAAAGGCCUACCAAGGCGACGAUCUGUAGCGGGUCUGACAGGAUGAUCCGCCACACUGGGACUGAGACACGGCCCAGACUCCUACGGGAGGCAGCAGUGGGGAAUAUUGGACAAUGGGGGGAACCCUGAUCCAGCCAUGCCGCGUGUGUGAAGAAGGNCUUUUGGUUGUAAAGCACUUUAAGCGAGGAAGAGGCUACCGAGAUUAAUACUCUUGGAUAGUGGGACGUUACUCGCAGAAUAAGCACCGGCUAACUCUGUGCCAGCAGCCGCGGUAAUACAGAAGG